AUCGCGACCAGCCAGGUCCAGACGCAUGAUGGCGUGGGGCAGGGCGUAACCCUCAUAGACUGGGACGUUGUGGGUCACACCAUCACCAGCAUCCAGCACAAUACCUGGAGAGAGGCAAAGCAAGAGUUUAGUAAAGUCCAGAUCCUCCAAUUAGCUUCUCUUAUUAUUUUCUCCGGUAUUUACCUGGUGACGGGGGCGGCCAACAAUGGAGGGGAACACAGCCCUGGGGGCAUCGUCUCCGGCGAAGCCAGCCUUCACAAGGCCGGAGCCGUUGUCGCACACAAGGGCGGUAGUCUCAUCGUCGUCACACAUGUUGAGUUCUGUAAAAGAGAGGAGGGGAAGAAAAGGAGUUCAGAUCCACAUUGCGAGACAUACUCUGUGUGGCAUAGAUGAUUUUGGUUCGCAGCUUUUGUUUCCUGUAAGCUCUCAUUAGGUGUCUUAAUAUUAAAGACUAAAAAGACUGAAUUGUAACAUUUACUGGAGCAUGAUCAGGCCCAUGUCUUGCGCUAAAUGUAUCCAUGGCGCACUGACACCAGGCCAUUACGCAUUACGUAUACGCCUGUACAAACCAAUAAAAUCAAUAUGGAACUAAACUGCUGUUUUCCUUCAGAUAUCUAUCUGGAUUUGAUGACUCUCGACUAAUAUAUCCUUUAUAUUAUUCUAAUUUGGUGAGAGUACAUCUAUGCGAAUUCUUAAGAAAUAUCAUCUAAGGUGUUCUGAAAGACAUCUGUCUGUCCCAGCCUCUCUCAGGUAAACUGUCCUGGCUUAAUUGGUCUGAAAGUGCACUGCUUCUUACAGCAUCAGCACCUUUUCAGGAUUCAAUGUUAGACCUAUGAAGAAACUAAAGCUGGUCUACUUUAUCUAUCGAUCCAUGUAUCGAUCCAUGUAUCUAGCCAUACUUUCCAGACCUAAUAGUUCAGAUAAAUACUUCUCCUGUCUCCUUUCCUGUGAUAUCUCAGUCUAUUAUUUACAAAUCUUUUCCUUCUCCUUCAGUAGAAGGCCUGUCCUACAGUCUAGUCUAUCCUCCAGUGGAGUUGCCCAUGUUGCCUCCAGUAGUAUCUGGUCCUAGGCGUCCUGUCCCUGGCAGUCCUCCCUAACUUCUGCUCCAGUAGAUGCUCCAGUGUUGUGCUGGUUAAGGCCUAGUCUGAUGUCCCAACCUGGACUUGAGGCUUCAGGAGUGGCAGGUCCUAGCAGGGUCUUACCUUAGGAGUGUGUCUGCGGGGCUCGGAGAGAAUGACCCAACCAGUGCUGCUGCUGAACCAGCUACGGUCUUCUGUCCUGCCUGUCCACCUUAUAUACCCAACCUCCACCAUUCACAAACCUCAGCACUGGCCCCCAUCCCGGCCCUCUGCCAUAUUAGGACGCUGACAGUCCGAGGAUGAGGAGUGGCUGGGGGUGUGGGUGGGGAAGGGGGGGUCCAGCAAGGAGGCGCGCCUCGCAGAGGGAAGGAGGGAGCUCCAUCCAUCAAGAUCCACGAGAGAAUCAGCAGUGACGCUGCGCGCCCCCGACGAGGAGAGAGCGCGCGCCAUAUAUGGAACUGUCGCUUUGACCUCCCAUCGAGCCUCGCGGUCCCACCUCGAGGGCCGUAUAAGGAGCGCGCGGGCCACUGGGGGUUUUCUAGGGGAGACGCCAGUUGCUACCAACCAGGGUUAUAGAUUUGCUGCUAGUAGGCCUCAUCCAGCCUUAAAAUGGGAAAAUGCUGCUCUCAUCUGAACAGAUUUAGACCACGGUGAGAGCCAGGGCCCAAACUACUGACUGACAGGUGAACCAGGAACAGUGCUGCAGCCUGAAAGUGCCAAUUAAGAGUUCAAUACACAUUAUGGUGAUCAAUACAAGAUAACACAAAAUAAUUUGAUAAAAGCUGAGGAGGAACUGUCUGUGUGUAAACAGUUCAAUAUGUCUGCUUCAUCAGUCCAGUCUUUUCAGUAACAAUAAAUAAUCAUUAGUAAUCAAUAUUUGUAAUUGAUUGCAUUAAAUGAAGAAGCCUGAUUGACCCUAGCUUGCAUUAAAAAGCCCAGUGUGGAAGCUGGAGGCCUUUUACAUCAGUGUAAGUAAAUUAUUUCUUCCAAUUAUCAGCUUUAUAUGACUGUACAACAAUGUUCUAAUAAUCCUGCUGCUGGUCACUGAACGUUACCCAACAGGAUUUUGUUGUAUGCAAAUAAAGUGUCUUAUUUCUUA